GACGAACGCUGGCGGCGUGCUUAACACAUGCAAGUCGAACGGAAAGGCCCUGCUUUUGUGGGGUGCUCGAGUGGCGAACGGGUGAGUAACACGUGAGUAACCUGCCCUUGACUUUGGGAUAACUUCAGGAAACUGGGGCUAAUACCGGAUAGGAGCUCCUGCUGCAUGGUAGGGGUUGGAAAGUUUCGGCGGUUGGGGAUGGACUCGCGGCUUAUCAGCUUGUUGGUGGGGUAGUGGCUUACCAAGGCUUUGACGGGUAGCCGGCCUGAGAGGGUGACCGGCCACCUUGGGACUGCGAUACGGCCCAGACUCCUACGGGAGGCAGCAGUGGGGAAUAUUGCACAAUGGGCGGAAGCCUGAUGCAGCAACGCCGCGUGCGGGAUGACGGCCUUCGGGUUGUAAACCGCUUUCGCCUGUGACGAAGCGUGAGUGACGGUAAUGGGUAAAGAAGCACCGGCUAACUACGUG
rnacentral:rRNA from 1 species